rnacentral:rRNA from 1 species
CAGUAGCCACGGUAAAACGAAGGGGGCUAGCGUUGUUCGGAUUUACUGGGCGUAAAGCGCACGUAGGCGGAUUCUUAAGUCAGAGGUGAAAUCCCAAGGCUCAACCUUGGAACUGCCUUCGAUACUGGGGAUCUCGAGUCCGGGAGAGGUGAGUGGAACUGCGAGUGUAGAGGUGAAAUUCGUAGAUAUUCGCAAGAACACCAGUGGCGAAGGCGGCUCACUGGCCCGGUACUGACGCUGAGGUGCGAAAGCGUGGGGAGCAAACAGGAUUAGAUACCCCUGUAGUCCCUGUCUCUUAUAC